rnacentral:tRNA from 1 species
AGGAGCCAGAGGGCCUCGAUCCCACAUUACACUAGUUAACAGCUAGCACGCCUAACCAAAUAGCACUAACUCC